UUUGCGGUACUCUGACCGUGCAAAGGUAGCAAAAUCAUUUGCCUUAUAAUUGAAGGCUAGUAUGAAUGGUUUGACAAGAAUAUAGCUGUCUCUUUAUGGCUAUUUAGAAUUUUAUUUAUAGGUGAAGAAGCCUAUAUUUCAUUAAUAGACGAGAAGACCCUAUCGAGCUUCAAAUAAAUUAAUAGAUAUAAAUCAAUUAAAUAAUAACUAAAAUAAAAACUAUUAAAUAUUCUUAGUUAGUUGGGGCGACUGAGGAACAAUAAAAGCUUCCUUUACAUUUUAAUAGACUAUGCUAGUUUUAAUCCAAAAACUUUUUGAUCAAAGAAAUUAGCUACCGUAGGGAUAACAGCAUAAUCCCUUUUGAGAGCUCCUAUCGAAAAGGGGGUUUGUGACCUCGAUGUUGGACUAGAAUAUCCCAAAGAUGCAGCAGUCUUUAAAGGUUGGUCUGUUCGACCAUUAAAUUUCUACGUGAAA
rnacentral:rRNA from 1 species